ensembl:misc_RNA
UUGAAACCCCUGGAGUCUUGGAGUGCUCUGCUUAGCCACAGAACAGGUACAACAUGACAGGACAGUGCAAACUUCCUCCACAAUGCCCUGCCAAUGUGCCUAAAUCCUGACCCAGAGGAACCUCCAUGGUUCAAUCCUUGGCCUCU